rnacentral:tRNA from 1 species
GGCCCCGUGGUCCAACGGGUAGAGGCAGCGGAUUUAAAAUCCGCUUGGUGUGGGUUCGAAUCCCACCGGGGCUA